rnacentral:rRNA from 1 species
GACGAACGCUGGCGGCGUGCCUAAUACAUGCAAGUAGAACGCUGAAGGCGGAGCUUGCUUCUCUGGAUGAGUUGCGAACGGGUGAGUAACGCGUAGGUAACCUGCCUGGUAGCGGGGGAUAACUAUUGGAAACGAUAGCUAAUACCGCAUAAUAGUACAUGUUGCAUGACAUUUGCUUAAAAGUUGCAAUUGCAGCACUACCAGAUGGACCUGCGUUGUAUUAGCUAGUGGGUGAGGUAACGGCACACCAAGGCAACGAUACAGAGCCGACCGGAGAGGGGGAUCGGCCACCCUGGGACUGAGACCCGGCCCAGACGCCUUGGGGAGGCAGCAGUAGGGAAUCUGCGGCAAUGGACGGAAGUCUGACCGCGCAACGCCGCGUGAGUGAAGAAGGUCUUCGCAUCGUAAAGCUCUGUUGUAAGAGAAGAACGAGUGUGAGAGUGGAAAGUUCACACUGUGACGGUAUCUUACCAGAAAGAGACGGCUAACUACGUG